ensembl:rRNA 5S_rRNA 5S ribosomal RNA
GCUUACGGCCAUACCAACCUGGCUAUGCCCGAUCUCGUCUGAUCUCGUAAGCUAAGCAGGUUUGGGCCUGGUUAGUACUUGGAUGGGAGACCGCCUGGGAAUACCAGGUGCUGUAAGCU